rnacentral:sRNA from 1 species
UUCUAUGGUCUGGGGGACCCUGUCUUCCUUCUGUGGUUCUACUUCUUUACACACACACUGUAAUAAAGUUUUAUGGAAUGUACAUCGCGUCUAACGCAAUACAAUACAACUUUCAGCAACGGAUCUCUUGGCUCUCGCAUCGAUGAAGAACGCAGCGAAAUGCGAUAAGUAAUGUGAAUUGCAGAAUUCAGUGAAUCAUCGAAUCUUUGAACGCACCUUGCGCCCCUUGGCUAUUCCGAGGGGCAUGCCUGUUUGAGUAUCAUGAACACCUCAACUCUCAUGGUUUGCCAUGAUGAGUUGGACUCUGGGGGUUUUGCUGGCCUGUGGUCGGCUCCUCUUAAAUUAAUCAGCCUCCCAGUGUUUGGUGGCAUCAYGGGUGUGAUAAAUAUCUACGCUCGCUGUUGUCUGCCAGGUAACCUUUGGUAACAAAGGUUUGCUGGAGCUCACAGAUGUCUCUCCUCAGCGAGGACAACUUUUUUAACGUUCGAUCUCAAAUCAGGUAGGACUACCCGCUGAACUUAAGCAUAUCAAUAAGCGGAGGAAAAGAAACUAACAAGGAUUCCCCUAGUAACUGCGAGUGAAGCGGGAAAAGCUCAAAUUUAAAAUCUGGCGUGCCUCUGGUCGUCCGA